CUUUUGGCUUGACGAAAAACUAUUCUGUUUCUUGUAGUGUACAAACAGACCCUUUAUUUUACAAAGAAAAACUCUAAAACAAGUUACCGUGAAGGCUCAAAACGAAUAACAGAGUUGGAGGAACUCAUUUUGAUUUUAUGUUAUUAUUAUUAUAUAUCUUAUUAAUUAUAUUUUAUUCAUGCGGGACGAAUGAUUUUGAGACAUGGGCUAUGUAACGAUUUUGAAUCAUAAGUUCUAUAAUUUACCUUCUACAGAAGCCAUAUCUUAUCUGUUUGUAGAAAUGAAUAAGAUAUUUGGCGGUUAAACCGUUGGUCAGGUCAAAUAUGAAGGGGUUUUCCAAAG
rnacentral:lncRNA from 1 species